UGGGGAAUAUUGCACAAUGGAGGGAACUCUGAUGCAGCGACGCCGCGUGAACGAAGAAGGCUUUCGAGUCGUAAAGUUCUUUUAUAUGGGAAGAUAAUGACGGUACCAUAAGAAGAAGCCCCGGCUAACUACGUACCAGCAGCCGCGGUAAUACGUAGGGGGCUAGCGUUGUCCGGAAUCACUGGGCGUAAAGGGUUCGCAGGCGGAAAUGCAAGUCAGGUGUAAAAGGCAGUAGCUUAACUACUGUAAGCAUUUGAAACUGCAUAUCUUGAGAAGAGUAGAGGUAAGUGGAAUUUUUAGUGUAGCGGUGAAAUGCGUAGAUAUUAAAAAGAAUACCGGUGGCGAAGGCGACUUACUGGGCUCAUUCUGACGCUGAGGAACGAAAGCGUGGGUAGCAAACAGG
rnacentral:rRNA from 1 species